rnacentral:tRNA from 1 species
GUAAGUAUAGCACAGUGGGUAAGGAACUGGGCUUGUAACCGAAAGGUCCCAGGUUCGAUUGCCGGGUUUGUUCG